AAGGGGGUGCCGCAAUGAAGGCUGAGAUUAUACCCAUUGAACCUGAUACGGUUAAUGCCGGCGAAGGGAAUUUUC
rnacentral:ncRNA from 1 species